UUAAGGCACUCUAGAGCUUUCUUCGACCUAUUCCUCUUGUCGAACUUUAUCAGAGGGACUUGGCCAAAACCCUUGUUAUAAAAGCCAUAUUCGCGAAGCGAUUCCGGAGUAACAAUCUCGUCGAGCUUCUUCUGGGCGGCAUCAAGAUUGUCAACAGCCUGGGCACGAGUCAAGAGCUCGCCCUCGAGGUCGGUUUGUUGAGGUUUAUCUAAUAAGGAGUUAAAGUUAAGUACAGAUGAUAGGCGAGAAGGUGAGAAGAAGGCGAUGAAGAUUAUACUUACAAGGGUCAAGAUUAAAAGACACCCUUUGGCGAGGAAUGUCGUAGAGGUAGAAGUAAUCCGGCUUCCAGAAUUUCAUGUUGCUAGGAUUUCCAACGGAGAAGCCUUUCUUGUGAUGGCAAAGACGAUGAAGCAAGAUAAAUUAAAAGCACGGGACUACAACAGCAAAAGAGUUAGAAUUCAAAUACAACUGACAAGGCCAAUUACAGAGAGCUCGCACUCCAAAUGUAUUUAGGACUUUUCAAAAUAAAAAGUUCAUUCUUUCUGAUGCUCAGUGGUGAUGGCCUCGAGAUUAUACUUACAAGGGUCAAGAUUAAAAGACACCCUUUGGCGAGGACCAUCUUUGUAUUUCUUCUGGAGGUCUUUCAGACGAUCCGCGGACGUUGUUGCCUCGCUCUUUAGCUUCGUGUUCGGACGGUAGCAUUAGCCUCUUUGAAGCCCACCAUGAAAGCAGGAGUAGAAGGGGCGAAGAACGUCGUCCAGUCGUAGUCAGGGUCCGCAGCCAAGAAAUUGAUAAGAUAUUCCGAGAACCCAAGGCGGUAUGCGUCGCUCAGCUCCUUGGAUUUGGAGGCUUUCUCGCCCUCAAGCUCAGACUGGAGACCUGCGAUGGUAGAGUUGGCGAGGUUGGCGGCUGAAGUUGAGGACUCAGUGAGUUCAUUGAGGGUAUCCUGAACAUUCCUGAUCUGGGCAUCCCUUGUCUUGAUAUCAUCUUUGUAUUUCUUCUGGAGGUCUUUCAGACGAUCCGCGGACGUUGUUGCCUCGCUCUUUAGCUUCGUGUUCGCCUUUUCCAGCUCUGCUAUGUGAGCAUUUUUGGCGGCAAGGACGUUGAGGCCCUGAAAAAAUGCCUCGUCCAAUCCUAACUUGAAGCCGUGUUCAGCUUCAUCAGCUUUCUUUGACGACCAGACUUUGACGUCCACAGCAUCAUAGUUGUCUUCGGCCAAAACACUGAAGGCGACAGACACAACAGAGGGGGUCGACUCCUCGCCCUUUCUUGGUUUCUUUUUUGAGGCUGCAACUUCCUCUUCGUUCCCCCGUUUUUGCUUGUUCCUCGCCCUCAAUUCUUUCUCCGGUGGAGGGGUCUGGUUCCGACGAGGAGUAGGAGUGGCAUUAACAGAGAUGGUGGGGCGAGGCUGAGAAACAGGAACUUGCCUGCCAGCAAAAGGGUUGUUACCAAAAGGGAGUUCGGCCAUCUUUCCUGAAAAGAAACCAAGUGUAAACAUUAAGCGACGAAUAUAUGAUUGGCAAGGAGCAUGUAUUAAGGAAAAAAGUAAAGCGUGAAAAAGAUAAAGGGCGAAACGCAAGCAGACAAAGGGCGACGCUUCUACCUUUACCAGUCAAGGAUGCUAAUGACCUUUUAAGGCACUCUAGAGCUUUCUUCGACCUAUUCCUCUUGUCGAAUUUUAUCAGAGGGACUUGGCCAAAACCCUUGUUAUAAAAGCCAUAUUCGCGAAGCGAUUCCGGAGUAACAAUCUCGUCGAGCUUCUUCUGGGCGGCAUCAAGAUUGUCAACAGCCUGGGCACGAGUCAAGAGCUCGCCCUCGAGGUCGGUUUGUUGAGGUUUAUCU
rnacentral:lncRNA from 1 species